CCCAGUGGACGGCCACUGAGGUUUAUCUCACUCCGGGACGGCCCG
rnacentral:ncRNA from 1 species